GUACACAUGAGUUUGACUGGAUGACUGACUGAAAUGUCACCAGCAACUCUCCACAGGGCCAGAUGGGCACUGUGAGAAGCCCUCCCUCCCUUUUACUUUCUCCCCCAGGGCAGAGAGAGGAAUCUGCCCUUAGGCUUACUUCCCUGGGAGGAGAGCAUCAUCCUCCAACCUCUCCCACCAAAGUGAGGUCCCCAUGAGGUCACUGAUGGUCCUGAGUUGGGACUGAAGGCUGGCAAUAUUCUUCUCCAAGCCCUGCACUUGAGACAAAGCCUGGAAAAGCCCCUGGCUGGGCUAGCUCACAGGCUUCCUGAGAACUGCUACUCAGAGAGCUGUGCUCUAGCUGGGAGGAUCACCUUCUUGCAGGUCAUGCCCCAUAUUUUGCUUGGUCCUUGGAUGAGAGGAGGGAGAAACAGAGGGGACGAGGCAUGGACCAGAUCCCUUGGCAGUAGCUAAACCUUGGGAGCUGCCACCAGCUGCAAUUACUUGCUUCUGCCUUUAAUUUCAUGUUGAGAAGCCACGGGUGAUGGAAAAAGAAAUUGGUCCCCAUGGGCAGAACGCUUUUUCGAUAUGCAUUUAUUAGCAAAGCUUCUGAAGGUGUCGUAAGCUGAACGUGAGGCAGCUGCCUCUAGAAGUGAGAUUCACAUGCAGGGUGGAAAUGGUAGAUGGGAGAUCUGGAGGAGAGACACUUUGGAGAAAAAACUUCUGUU
rnacentral:lncRNA from 1 species